UGUAUAUAUUAUACCCAUGUAUGUAUUAUAAUAUACAUAUACACACGUAUAUAGACAUAUACAUUAUAUAUUUAUACUAUAUGUAUAUAUAUAUAUUAUAAUAUACAUAUAUACACGUAUAUACAUGUAUAUUAUUAUUAUAACAUACCCAUAUAUAUUAUCUAUUAUAAUAUACAUAUGUAUAUGUAUAUGUAUUAUACCCAUG
rnacentral:lncRNA from 1 species